GUCCCGCAUAGCCAUGGCAUGGCAAAGCAGAGCGGAUCCGGCUCACAGCUCUUGGGGAGAGCCCUGCCUCCAAGGGAUGCUUUUAGUGCCCUGGGUCUCCGUGCAGCUGAGCUCAGGAUUCUCGGUUGUUUGGAUUCAGUGUACCUGAGAACUGGUUGUCAAAGCCUGCAAGGACUUGAGCUGCCUGUGGCACAUGAAGGAAGGCUAUACAAAGUUAGGCAGAGAAAACAGCUGGCCCGCUUUCAUUGUGGGAACAGGAAUGAGGAAGUUAAAUGUAAAAUUUUCCCUGAAGUGAAAGCAGAAUCCUUAUUAUGAAAUGGGUUGACUGCCAGGCUUUGCUGAAGCACUCAAAUUGCGGAGACAUGUAGAAGUGCCCUAGAUGACAGAGAUGAUGAUCCUGCCCCUAGCUGCGUGUUCAAGUCCUAAUGUCUCUUCCCUUACUUUCUGAUGCACAAAGACUUGGCAGUAGCAGCUUUUGCAGUUUCCCCGAUAUCAGCAAGCCGUUUAUCUCCUGGCAUAUCUCCAGGCAUAUUUCCUCCAUCUAGAUUAAGGAGCAUACAGCAGAAAGUCUAAGGAUUAUUCUUCUGGCAGUCUUGAAUGUUUCAAUGGACACUGCUUAAGAUCAAUGAGAAAAAGCAUCCUGCCACAUUCAGACUCUAGCUUUGAGGAAAGCGUGGCAAUAUUGAGUGAAAAUGUCAAUAGAGGACACUUUUCAAGGCAGUUGACAAAGCCGAAAUCAGACUGAUAAAGAGAAUCUAAUGCAG